rnacentral:rRNA from 1 species
GACGAACGCUGGCGGCGUGCCUAAUACAUGCAAGUCGAACGCUGAAGGAGGAGCUUGCUUCUCCGGAUGAGUUGCGAACGGGUGAGUAACGCGUAGGUAACCUGCCUGGUAGCGGGGGAUAACUAUUGGAAACGAUAGCUAAUACCGCAUAACAGUAGAUAUUGCAUGAUAUCUGCUUGAAAGGUGCAAUUGCAUCACUACCAGAUGGACCUGCGUUGUAUUAGCUAGUUGGUGAGGUAACGGCUCACCAAGGCGACGAUACAUAGCCGACCUGAGAGGGGGAUCGGCCACACUGGGACUGAGACACGGCCCAGACGCCUACGGGAGGCAGCAGUAGGGAAUCUUCGGCAAUGGACGGAAGUCUGACCGAGCAACGCCGCGUGAGUGAAGAAGGGUGUCGGAUCGUAAAGCUCGGUUGUAAGAGAAGAACGAGUGUGAGAGUGGAAAGUUCACACUGUGACGGUAUCUUACCAGAAAGGGACGGCUAACUACGUG